UACGAAGGGGGCUAGCGUUGUUCGGAUUUACUGGGCGUAAAGCGCACGUAGGCGGAUCGUUAAGUCGGGGGUGAAAUCCUGGAGCUCAACUCCAGAACUGCCUUCGAUACUGGCGAUCUUGAGUCCGGAAGAGGUGAGUGGAACUCCUAGUGUAGAGGUGGAAUUCGUAGAUAUUAGGAAGAACACCAGUGGCGAAGGCGGCUCACUGGUCCGGUACUGACGCUGAGGUGCUAAAGCGUGAGGAGCAAACAGG
rnacentral:rRNA from 1 species